UCGAGGGGUAGUCUAGCAAUAGAUGAGACCGGCGCACGGGUGCGUAACGCGUAUGCAAUCUACCUUUUACAGAGGGAUAGCCCAGAGAAAUUUGGAUUAAUACCUCAUAGCAUAGCAGCUUCGCAUGAAGUCACUAUUAAAGUUCCAACGGUAAAAGAUGAGCAUGCGUCCUAUUAGCUAGAUGGUAAGGUAACGGCUUACCAUGGCUACGAUAGGUAGGGGUCCUGAGAGGGAGAUCCCCCACACUGGUACUGAGACACGGACCAGACUCCUACGGGAGGCAGCAGUGAGGAAUAUUGGACAAUGGGCGCAAGCCUGAUCCAGCCAUGCCGCGUGCAGGAAGAAGCAUCUAUGGUGUGUAAACUGCUUUUGUACGGGAAGAAACACUCCUACGUGUAGGAGCUUGACGGUACCGUAAGAAUAAGGAUCGGCUAACUCCGUGCCAGCAGCCGCGGUAAUACGGAGGAUCCAAGCGUUAUCCGGAAUCAUUGGGUUUAAAGGGUCCGUAGGCGGUUUAAUAAGUCAGUGGUGAAAUCUGGUCGCUCAACGAUCAAACGGCCAUUGAUACUGUUAGACUUGAAUUACUGGGAAGUAACUAGAAUAUGUAGUGUAGCGGUGAAAUGCUUAGAUAUUACAUGGAAUACCAAUUGCGAAGGCAGGUUACUACCAGUGGAUUGACGCUGAUGGAUGAAAGCGUGGGGAGCGAACAGGAUUAGAUACCCUGGUAGUCCACGCCGUACACGAUGGAUACUAGCUGUUGGGAGCAAUCUCAGUGGCUAAGCGAAAGUGAUAAGUAUCCCACCUGGGGAGUACGUUCGCAAGAAUGAAACUCAAAGGAAUUGACGGGGGCCCGCACAAGCC
rnacentral:rRNA from 1 species